UACCAAAAACACAGGUUUGUGCUAAAUCGAAAGAUGACGUAUACGAGCUGACGCCUGCCCGGUGCUGGAAGGUUAAAAGGAGAUGUGCAAGCAUUGAAUUGAAGCCCCAGUGAACGGCGGCCGUAACUAUAACGGUCCUAAGGUAGCGAAAUUCCUUGUCAGGUAAGUUCUGACCCGCAUGAAAGGCGUAAUGAUCUGGGCACUGUCUCAACAGCCCGCCCGGCGAAAUUGUAGUACCGGUGAAGAUGCCGGUUACCCGCGACAAGACGGAAAGACCCCAUGGAGCUUUACUGUAGCCUAAUAUUGGGUUUCGGUGUUGCAUGCACAGGAUAGAUGGGACGCUGGGAAGUGAGUGCUUUGGCAUUCAUGGAGCGGCCGUUGGGAUACCAUCCUUGCGACAUUGGAAUUCUAACCUGCGCCUUUGAAUCAAGGCGGGGGACAUUGUUAGGUGGGCAGUUUGACUGGGGCGGUCGCCUCCUAAAGAGUAGCGGAGGCGUUCAAAGGUUGGCUCGUCCUGGACGGAAACCAGGAGAGAGAGUGCAAACGCAAAAGCCAGCCUGACUGCGAGACUGACGGGUCGAGCAGAGACGAAAGUCGGAGUUAGUGAUCCGGUGGUAUGUGAGUGGAAAUGCCAUCGCUCAACGGAUAAAAGUUACCCUGGGGAUAACAGGCUGAUCUCCCCCAAGAGUCCACAUCGACGGGGAGGUUUGGCACCUCGAUGUCGGCUCAUCGCAUCCUGGGGCUGUAUUCGGUCCCAAGGGUUUGGCUGUUCGCCAAUUAAAGCGGUACGCGAGCUGGGUUCAGAACGUCGUGAGACAGUUCGGUCCCUAUCUGUCGUGGGCGCAGGAUAUUUGAAAGGCGCUGUCCCUAGUACGAGAGGACCGGGAUGGACGAACCUCUGGUGCACCAGUUGUCACGCCAGUGGCACAGCUGGGCAGCUAUGUUCGGAUCGGAUAAACGCUGAAAGCAUCUAAGCGUGAAGCCGGCCUUAAGAUAAGAUAUCCCACUGAGAUAAUCAGGUAAGACCCCUUGAAGACUACAAGGUUGAUAGGCACAAUGUGUAAGUGGCGCGAGUCAUUGAGCAAG
rnacentral:rRNA from 1 species